rnacentral:rRNA from 1 species
CCUACGGGAGGCAGCAGUGAGGAAUAUUGGUCAAUGGGCUUACGCCUGAACCAGCCAAGUCGCGUGAGGGAAGACUGCCCUAUGGGUUGUAAACCUCUUUUGUCAGGGAGCAAUUGGCGCUACGUGUAGCGUUAUCGAGAGUACCUGAAGAAAAAGCAUCGGCUAACUCCGUGCCAGCAGCCGCGGUAAUACGGAGGAUGCGAGCGUUAUCCGGAUUUAUUGGGUUUAAAGGGUGCGUAGGUGGUUAAUUAAGUCAGCGGUGAAAGUUUGUGGCUCAACCAUAAAAUUGCCGUUGAAACUGGUUGCCUUGAGUACAGUAGAGGUGGGCGGAAUUCGUGGUGUAGCGGUGAAAUGCUUAGAUAUCACGAAGAACUCCGAUUGCGAAGGCAGCUCACUGGACUGCAACUGACACUGAGGCUCGAAAGUGUGGGUAUCAAACAGGAUUAGAUACCCGAGUAGUC